GUCAACGUCACUUCCUGGUGUUGUACUAAAUACAUUCCCUCAUCUUCCGGUCGGUUUGUUGUGAGGCGUGUGGGCGUGAAGAUUUAUAAAGCCGUCAUUUACCUGCAUUACCUGCAGUUUUUGGCUGGCGAUGGAUAUAGACGCUGAGCGGGAGAAAAUCCGUCAGGAAAUAGAAGAACUGGAGAGGAACCUGGGCCCCGGCCUGCAAAACGUCGAUCUAAAUGGAUCCAAUUCCAGCCUUGAAUCUGAGGAUGAAGGCAGCUCUGACGACAGCAAGGAUUUGGAUGCCCAGGUUGAGAUGGUGGAUCAGAAGAGCCCUCUCAUGGAAGGCGAGAGCGAAGCCAUCCUCCAUAUCCCUCAGACGCCGGAGACUUGCCUCCAGAUGAACCUGGUCUAUCAGGCAGUUCUUCAGGAAAAACUGGAAGAAGUCCGCCAGCUUCUCGCCCAAAACAAGGACCAGCAGGUCAGGAGAAUGCCCUCCUUUUCCCUUCACAGAAGACCGCCCAUCUUGGUUUUCUCUAUUUAAUUUAGACAAAUUAAUCCAAAACCUACGUACAUUAUCUAGUCUAAAGUCUUUGUGUUCUCUGCCUGAUGGUUAUCUUCUGCCAUUUUCUACA
rnacentral:lncRNA from 11 species